UUCAUUUGCAUUUGAAAAAAAACAUGCUCAUCCUCUAAUAUUUAGAGCCGCCUAUGUCAAAAAGUAGAGCCCGUACUUAUCUAGUUCUCUCUGGUUCUCCAUGACGCCUCGCGCACCACAACCUACGCCAACUCCACCACCGCUGCCCUCCAUUGCUUUCGCCUGAGUUUCUCGCCGACGUCUCUCCUCUCCUUCGGUUGUUGUGACGCCCCUUUCUCUCCUCUCCUUUCCUCUCCUCUCCUUCGCUGCUGGUUCCGCUGCUCUUUUCUCUCAUCUAGAACUGAUCGUUCUCAGCAAUAGUGGGUACUUUUACUCCUCAAAUUUAUUAAUUUCUCAAAAUUUCUUGUUUUGAGCUUCAAUGAUUUUAAAUUAUUAAAACUUUAGGGUUUUGUUUUGUUGUUCCGGUUAAAUUUACUUCGGUUAAUUUUGAUUUUCUGGUUUGUAUGCAUAAACUCUAAUUUCGUCCAAGGUCAUUUAAUUCCAUGAAAAUUGACGAUUGUUUCCCAAUUUUCCAUUGUUCUCUAUAAUUUGUGCUUAAACUUGAUUCACGUCGUUUCUUCGUUGGGUACGGUACUUUUUUUCCCAACUAAGUCUAUUAAGGAAUUUCUUUUGGAAAUUCGUUGUGUAUGUUUGAUUGAUUUUGUUCCUAGGUUGCGGAGUCAUGAAGAUGCGUCAUUGGAGCUAAGUUUGGCUGAAGAUUCAUCAAUUACUUUGAAUUGACAGCCAGGGAAUGUUCCUCUUAAUUUGGUAUUAUCAUUUCAUUUAUUAUGCUCUUAUGUUGAUUUAGCAGUUAAUUGGGAUUUUGUUAUCUGAAAUCUAAGGUUAUAUGAUUCUCUUUUAUUUUAUUAUUAGUUACAAUCUUUUUCAUUGGUAUUGGAUUUGAUAGUUGAUGGACAUAAUGCGGAAUUAUAGACUCUAUCUUUGUAAGAACAUCAGGAUGUCUACAUCUUACCAUCCAAAAGAAUGCUCUAAUACCACCCUCACCUCGUAGCCUGACCUGUAGCUUGUUUGGCAAAUGCAAACUCAUUUUUAAAAAAAUAACACUUUGGCAUAUGUGAGGGGAGCUCCCCUCCCUAAUUUCUGUAAUUAGCAUUAUAUUGAAGUGAUAUACUCAGUACAUAAACUAUAAGAUACAAAACUGACCUCCACUACUCUGCUUUUGUUCAGCAUCGUAUACUUCCGCUUAUCUGAACAAGAGGCAGUGAAUGGGUUGGUUUAGGGAUCGUGGUGUACUUGAUUGAGUAUAUGAUGGUUGGUUUUUCUUCCUUGUGAGUAAUUAUGGAUGAUUGAUGUACGUUGGUUGGGGUUGAUUGCGCCACGAAGAUAGAAGCAUAUCUGAAACCGGAUUGGACAUUGCUCAAAGACUUCUGCCUCGAUGCUGAUACGACGCUUGCCACUUUAAGACAUACCAAGGAUAAGAGUUGUUGUAUUGUGUUAAACACUGAUAGUGGUUGUUGUCGCUGCUGAUUCGUUGGUUAUGCUGUUACGGCUGAUGUCCUGCCGUCACGCUGCUUCUGUCCUGCUGUCACGCUGCUUCUGUCCUGCUGCCCUGCUGCUGUCUUGCUACUGCUGUCCUGCUGUCUUGCUACUGUUCUGCUUAUUUUGUUGGUCUGUCGUUUGGCUGUUAUUCUGUUUUGUUAACUUGUUUUGACUUCAGUAAUUUUGUUUAUGCAGCAAUCUAGUGAAAUCUAACCAUGCACUAAAGCUGUCAGUAGUGAUAGAAAUAUCCAAAUAUACCAAUCAGGCAUAUUGUUACUUUUAGGCUUGCGGGUUGUUGCAAGCCCUAGGGUGUAUUUUUUGGUUGAGAUUGAACAACAAUUGGUUCUCUUUUGGUUAAUAAUAUUACUUGGAGUUGA